GCCUGGGUGGCUCAGUUGGUUGAGCGUCUGACUUCGGCUCAGGUCAUGAUCUCACAGUGCGUGGGUUCGAGCUCGCGUCGGGCU
rnacentral:tRNA from 1 species